GGACGUUGGGACGGGAGCAGCGGUGGCUCUGCAGUGAGUGCAGCUCUCCCUUGUCCCCUUCCGGCGGCUCCGUCCCCCCCUCCCGCUCACAGGCACCAGGCGGCUCUCCCCUGUCCGUCUCCGGCGGCUCCGUCCUCCCCACCCGCUGACAGGCACCAGGCGGCUCUCCCCUACUUCGUCCACAAGCAACACCUCCCCUCCCGCUGACAGACACCAGGCGGCUCUCCCCUGUCGUCCACACGCUGCAGCAGCGGCAGGUCAGAAUACGGGCCACGGCAUCCCGAUGGUGAGAAUCCCAUCAAGAGCGAGAUCAUUAUCUCCUUUUCAAUUAAUCUCUGGAGGAAAAACAAGUAAGGCUGCCAAAAGGUGACAGCUCUCAGCGUGUCAUGUGACGGCAGAGGUAGGAGAAGGAGUGGGAUCCAUUCCUCACAAAGUACUACCCCGACUAUUGCGUUCCAAGUGUGAAUAUUGACAGUGGAUUUUCCUCAUAUUUUUUUAUAGGAGGAACUUUAAAGAACAUUUUGAACUCAGAAAUCUGCCAUAGUAAUGUACAGGGUGUUUAAAAAAAAAAGGUAACUGAAACUGUAUGUGUAUCUUAUAUAUCUUAUCUGUUAUAGUUGACGUUGAUUGACACAAUACAGUAUCCAGGAACGUGCAUGGUAUGUGGAACAUUAUUUCCAAAGUUAUGGGACAGAAUGAAAUGGCGGGGCCUUCCCUAGCAUCCGUAAUAACUGGGUUCCAGGACAAUUUCCAGAGACCUGCACCACCAAACAAAACUAUCCUGCCUUGUGUAGACAUGUUCCAGCAAACAGGGUCCGUGGCUAAUUAUAAUAAAGAACGUUCCGGCAGACCUCGCAGCACCACAAGAAAUGUGUGAGAACGGAAAAAAGUUUCAGUUACCUUUGUUUUUAAACACCCUCAGCAGGAUAUAAUGCCGCCCCAGAGUCCGGCGGCCCUGCCGGAUGCCGGCCGAACUCAGACUUUUUUUUAAAAGUGGCAAUCUCUUACAGGGCAUGGUUUUACAUUGCAAGUGAUUGGCCAUUUUAAAAAAAGUCAGAGUUCAGACUCGAGUGGCAUUAUAUCCCGCUGCCUGUAUAUAUAUAUAAUUUUUAUUUAAAUGUGAUCACAUACCACAUGCACACCAUAUAAUCGGUAGGAGUGGUGAGUGCAGUGGAUUAAUGUCUUUUAUUUAUAAAAAAAAAGAAUUAUUAAUCAUUUUGUGAUCACAUCUUCUCGUGAACUCCAGUGUUAGCUCAUUUAAUCUGACUUGUAUCAAGUGCUUUUAUAGGGGUUUAUUAGCUGAUGUGCUUGGUGGAGGUCUUACCUUAAAAAGCCUGUCUCAAACCAGGAAGCAUGUUUUAGGCUCACACCAAUGUGAUAGGAAUUGCCAUGUUUAUAAUUCUGAGAAAUAGAGGACUGACCAGAUGUGGAAGACUUUGGCACAAUUGGUCAUCUUAACCAGUUGUAACAAUUGAAAGUAAUAUUAAAAUAUUUCAUACAUAUCAUA